GACGGUUUGGCCGAGUGGUCUAAGGCGUUGGAUUUAGGCUCCAAUCCCAAAGGGCGUGGGUUCAAAUCCCACAGCCGUCA
rnacentral:tRNA from 1 species